rnacentral:lncRNA from 1 species
AAAAAGAAUGUCAUUGUAUUGAAACAGAUGGCUCUAUCCCAAAUUCAAUUAUUAUUUCAAAAUGCAGACAAUGAGGAGCUCAGUUCCCAAAGUAAAAACUCUCUGAUACAUCAAACUGUGCAAGAACUUGAGCUAUUCAGCUGACUAGUAUUUAAUACCAUUUAUAACAAAAUAAAAAGUUUUAUUAACCUUGAACAUUAUGCAAGCAAGAGUAUGGUAGAAGAAUUUUUGCACUGGUAAAAAGAUGACUUUUGAAAAUAUCUGAUACUGAUCUAUACUACAGAUUCUGCUUACUUAAGCCAUAACUGAAAAGAAGAGCUGCUCUAAGUGGAUGGAUGGACUAGUCAAAGAUGUAAGAAGAUAACCAAUCAGUUUACUCAUUAUACUUGAUUGGUUUUCCUGUCACUGCAUACACAAGUUCCAACAGAUCAUUACCCAUUACUGCUUUCCCACAUGGGGGUGAUAAAGAAGAUACACGUCAUUCAAAGGCUAUCAAAAGAGACUACAGAGGCUUGGAAUGAAUUGAG